rnacentral:lncRNA from 1 species
CACAAAAGUCCCUUUGAAGUUUUGUUCCAAAAAAAACCAGCAUACUGCCAUCUAAAGGUCUUUGGCUGCCUUGCCUUUGCUACAACCCUCAUGCAAGGCAGACACAAGUUUGAUUCUAGAGCUAAGAAAUGUGUAUUCCUAGGAUAUCCAUUUGGAAUUAAAGGAUAUAAGCUUCUUGAUCUAGAAACAAAGAGAGUUUUCAUAUCCAGAAAUAUAGUUUUUCAUGAAACUUUGUUUCCCUUCAAAGAGGUGGAUGCUAAAAAAAUUAAGUGUGCCAAGUCCUGCUGAUUUGUGCUUCCCUCAAAAUCCUUUGAUCUGUGUCCCAAACAAUCACACGUCUAAAGAACCCACAAAGUCUAGUAACUAGUCUUCAUCUGUUUCCAAUCAUAAAGAAAACAUUGGACAUAAUGACACAAUUGAUUCCCAAACCGAGCAAAACAUACAACAAAUAGAUUUGUAUAUUGCAGAUAUGGAAACAAAACAAACCAUUCCUCACUUACCAAGAAGAUCCACCAGAAUUAGAAGAGCUCCUUUGCAUCUACAAGAGUUCAUAUGUCAGCAGGCCACUUCAUUCACUCCAUUACAGAACUUGAACAAGGCAAAGGACUCUAUUCCUUCAGGCACUCCUUAUCCUCUCAGUGAUAAUGUGUCAUAUGAUAGUUUGUCCAUUCGUCACAGAGCCUUUAUCACCUCUAUAACUUCACAAAUUGAACCUAAAAAUUAUCAAGAAGCUGUUAACUAUCCUGAAUGGUGUGAAGCCAUGAGAACAGAGAUUAAGGCACUUGAGUCAAAUGAUACAUGGGUCAUUGUUGAUCUCCCGAAUAGUAAAGAAGCAAUAGGGUGCAAAUGGGUAUAUAAAAUCAAGUUUAAAACUGAUGGAAGAAUUGAGAGAACAAGGCAAGGCUAGUUGCAAAGAGGUACACACAGCAAGAAAGUUUGGACUAUCAUGAAACCUUUUCUCCUGUGGCAAAGCUUGUUACUGUUCGAAGUUUACUUGCUCUUGCAGCCAUAAAAGGAUGGUUCUUGUACCAAUUGGAUGUUAAUAAUGCCUUUUUACAUGGCGAUUUGGAUGAGGAAGUGUAUAUGCAGUUACAUCCUGGUUAUAGUGCUGAUAAGUGCCAAAAGGUGUGCAAACUUCGCAAGAGUUUGUAUGGACUUAAGCAGGCCUCACACCAGUGGUAUUCAAAGUUGUCUAGCAUUAUCGCUCAACAUGGUUUCAUUCAAUCGAAGGCUGAUUACAGCUUAUUCACUAGGGCCACUCAAGACUCAUUCACAGCUAUCCUAGUGUAUGUUAAUGAUGUUAUCUUUGCUGGAAAUUGCAUGGAUACUAUCAAUAACCUUAAAGGUGCUCUUGAUGCAAAAUUCAAAAUCAAAGAUUUAGGAAAAUUGAAGUGUUUUUUGGGCAUCGAGGUGGCAAGAUCAGAACAUGGGAUAUACAUAUGCCAAGAAAAUAUGCUAUGGACAUUUUGGGAGACUCGGGCACUAUAGGUUCAGCACCAUCCAAGAUACCUCUUGAUCAGAGCAUUAAGUUAAGCAAGGAUGAAGGUGACUUACUUACUAAUCCUGCUAUCUAUAGGAGGUUAAUAGGGCAGUUGCUAUACCUGACUAUAACAAGACCAUAUCUAUCUUACUCAUUUCAGUUAUUGAGUCAAUACAUGGAUAAACCUAGAUUGCCACAUCUUCAUGCAUCACACAAAGUCCUGAGAUACAUUAAAAGGGCACCAGGUCAAGGCUUAUUUUAUUCCUCCACUUCUGAUCUCUAGUUGAAAGAUUACUCAGAUUCAGAUUGGGGUGCUUGUCCAGACAUUAGGAAAUCUGUGACAAGUUACUUUGUUUUCAUAGGUUCAUCUCUAUUAUCAUGGAAAUCAAAGAAGCAAAGUGUGGUUUCCAGAUCGUCCUCUGAAGUUGAAUACAGAGCAAUGGCACAGGUGUGUUGUGAACUAACAUGGAUGAGGUAUUUGUUUGAAACUUUAGAAAUUGAACAUAGCCAAGCAGCAAGGUUAUAUUGUGAUAACAAAUCUGCUAUCUACAUUGCCACGAAUCCCCUUUUUCAUGAAAGAACCAAACAUAUAGAAAUUGAUUGUCAUCUUGUUAGAGACAAAAUACAAAAUGGAAGCAUCGCUGCUGAGUAUGUUCACACUGGUUCUCAAGUGGCAGAUAUGUUAACAAAGGCUUUGAAUUCUUCAAGCCUUUACUCACACAUGAACAAGAUGGGAGUAGUUAAUAUCUACUCUCCAUCUUGGGAGGGGCUGUUAAAUGCUAAUGAACAACCUGAUCAGCUGGUAAUACAGUCAUCAGCCCAAACCACGACAGCAUCCAAUGGUGAUCCAGCAAAGAAGGAAGAAUCUAGAAGAAAGGGUGUCUAGAAGCAUUACGUCACCAGCAUUCUAUUAAGCAUAUUCCCUCUGCCAUUUGUUGUAACAAAUAGAUUUUAUUUUUUUAUUUUUAUUUUUUUGUUUUCU